AGAAUACUUACGGAUAGUUUCAUCAAAUUUUGUUUUAGAUAGUACAGAAAACCUACAAGUAAAGAAAUCAUUGCAAAGUGUUUUGAAAUAAUCAGCCAAACGUUUAGCAUACAUCAAUAAUGGACCUGGGACCGCAGUGCCGAAAUGCAAAAAUGCCCCUUUUCAUAAACUGAGGUGAAUUCACAGGAUAUAUUCAUAAAAUGCCACAGAAUGAGUAUGAUACAUCAGGAAGGCUGGCUAAUCCUGUUUCUUUGUCAGUGAGAAUAAACAUGUGAUACAUUGCAUUUUCUAUAGACAGUGUGACUUCUGAAGACCCCAUCUUUGUUUUGAUUAUCAAAAGAUUCCAAAUCCAUUUAGUCUCUAUCUUUGCGAAGCACUUAUGCAGCUCACAUCCUAUCUAUGCAUAUUGUGUUAAGUCACAUUACGUGUCCCCUCUCUAUGCAGCUAUGCCCUCUCGGUGCAAUGAAGACUAUCAAGAUUAGUGCUAUACUUUUUCAAGAAGACUGUCAAUGGGGACCAGAAGAUGAUGGCAAUGCUUUCGCAUGUUGGCUCUCCAUUUCAAGAAGCAUCAAGGACUUCUGCCUCUGAUAUCUGUUUCUCUUAGCAGCCAUUGACAUUAAAUCAUGAGGGGGAGCAAAGGCAUAAUCAUUUCUACUCCUCUUGAUGUAUAUGCAUACCACCAAUAGAAGCACAGAGACAACAACAAGACACGAUAGGGCUAUCACAACUUUACCACUUGUGGACAAAUGCCCAUUUUCCCAAAAUAAUGAGCAUUGUGGCAAAGAGGGAACUCCACACAAACCUUUGUUACCAGAAAGGUCGAUAGUCCCACCAUGCACACCAAUUGAAUAAAGCUCCUCUUGGACUGGUCCUACCAACAAGUUAUUAUUCAAUAACACAAGCUGCAGACUUGAAGAAGCUAGACUUUCUGGUAUAGGUCCAGAGAACUGAUUGUUUGAUAAAUCCCUACAAGGGACAAAUAAAAAAAAAAUAUGGUAAACAGUUACACUGUGGAAUUACAACACAAAAAUUUAUGGAUUCCUAAGUCAGAAAGCACAUGGGAUAUUACAUUUGAACUUUAAAAAAAAUGGCAUAUUUAUAGAAAUCAUAUCAGAGCUUCCUCAUGGGUGAAAUUGAGAUAUUUAUACAACAGAAUAGAAUGAAGGAUCUCCAACCUCAAAGAAUGGAUUGCCAACAUCUAAGUACAAAAAUUUAUGUAGCAUAAAUCAAGAAAAUAGAGUAAAAGCAAUCGUGAUGAAAUCCAACACUGCUAAUGCACACAUCCACAUCUUGUGAAAAUUAUCUUUUAAGCAUAUCAUGAAAUGGAAAAUCUAAUGCAUAAAACAAUUAAAUCAGGGCAAUAAUCGACACAGUAUAUCAAUUCCAUAUAUAGUACUUACAGCUGCACAAGUGAUUUAUGACCUAGUCCUGAUGGAAGUGUUCCUACUAAUGAAUUAGAACUCAAAUUCAGGCUUACCAAGUUUGACAGAAAACUAAUCUGAUCACUCAAGUAACCUUUGAAGCCUUGGCUUCCAAGAUCUAUUUGAGAUAUAACCAUGGCAGUUCCAUCUUUGUUGGAAUGGCAGGUAAUACCUUCCCAAGCAUCCCAUUUAGUAGGAGCACAAGGAUCACCAUUCCAACCCAUUCUACCAGGAACAUGAAGAGACUCUUUCAAUGCUCUCAUAGCAGCAACUUGCUCAGGAGCAGUGGCUAUAUCGUUCGAAACCAGAGCAUAAUUUUCAAUUCCACUAAUCAGUGGCGCCCCCGUUACCGGCAUUAACUUCACAGUCAAUGCAGUACUGCUCAGAUUGUGCACCAUAUACUGUAAGCUAUAGGCCGCGAAGCUCCCAACCUGCGCAUAAAUAUCAACUCUGCUAACGUUUUUGUCAUUCACCAACACAUCAAAAACUCUCUGCCCCUUCUUCGUCACUGUCGAAUCAAUCUCAGCGAAAUGAAACCACAAGAAGUAAUCCAAUUUCGCAUCCACCGUUAAUUCGUACUCCAAAACUCCUUUUCCCGCAACCGCAGUCUGGUAAAGCUUCAUUGGGAAGUAAUUCGGGGCCUGACCCGUGCCGGUUAUUUUUUCUCGGGUGGAGAAGGAAUGGAAUUUGUUUGAGGUGCUUGGAGAUCGAAAUUCCGAAUCGGACUGCCAGGAGCGGCCGAAGUCAUCGGUAUCGUUGCUUAACCCUGGUCCCCAUUGUACGGAGCCGCAGGAUAAACGGCCAUAGUUGACGAGGAUGAAAUUGUUGCCGAUUUUGGCAGAAUCAUACGACAGCGGAUCGAUUUGACGGAUUUCGAGAGAGCCGAUCACAGGAGGAUCAGUGGCAAUGCUGUAAAAACAGAUAUCCACCUCUCCAUCUUUAACAAACGCGAAUAAAUCAGAGUAAGCGCCGUCACGAGCGAGAUUCUCGGGCCAGGGGGAGCGCCAGGAGAAAACAAGAGUACCUUCAACGGAGACUUCGAAACUCGGAGAAUGAGACUUACCGUCGUAGUUAUCAUAGACGGUGAAAGUACGGAUGUAGUAACGGCCAUUUGGAAGUGGAAGAAUGUAGCAGUUCUUCUUGCCAGAGGAGAGAGGGAAGAAACGGAGGGUCUUCUCUUGAGGGAAGCGGAAGUGGAGGGGCUCAGAGACGACGGAAGUGAGGCCGCCAGUGAAGAAGCGGUCGGAGAGCCAGGUGGUGUUGAAGGGGUCGAUAGAUUUAGUGGAGCCGCCGCAGUCUAUGUAGUAAGAAGUAUCUACAAGGAGAAGGAAAGAAAGACAUGCAGUUAAGCAAAGACCGUUAAAAAGUUAGUUAAAUUAGUUAUAGAGAAGGCGAGAAGAGGAAGAGCAGUAGUACCAUAUGGGAGGGAAAGAGUAGAGGAGAGAAGGAGAAAGAAGAAGAGAGAGAGGAAGAAGAAAGACAUGUUUGGUCAUGGAAGAACAGAGCAUGCGGUACUACGGUUGUUGUGAAAUCAUUUUCACUUGAGUAGACAAAAAUAAAUUCGAUGAUUUUUAGUUGGAUUGGGAUUCAAUGAGAAAAGGAAACAGAAACCGAAACUGAUUGAUUUUUAGUUGGCCAAUAAAUUUUCCUUUUGGUAUCUAAUUGAAUGCAAAGGUUUUCUCCGGGGGACUUCCCAGCUACCUUCACAAGCACCAUUGAAAUUGAAAUUCGUCUGCGAUGAAAAGAAGGCCUCUAUCAAUCUGAGAGAGUGUGUGUGAUGUGUACUUUGGCAUUAAUUAAUAUGGUUAAGUGAGUAUUAGAUUAAUUAAUUUAAUCCUCAUGGUUGAUAACUAAUUCUUCAAUAAUGGAUUAAAUGAUAGUUUGUGUUGGUAGUGGUGGUGGUAGGUUCUUACGCCCGUGAACCUGCAAACGUUAAUUUUUUUGUACGUUUGCUUUUGAUCGAGUACACCAUCUGACAGGGAAUAUAAAUUAUAUAAUUCAACCUAGAG
rnacentral:misc_RNA from 1 species